GACGAACGCUGGCGGCGGGCUUAACACAUGCAAGUCGAACGAACGCCUUCGGGCGUUAGUGGCGCACGGGUGAGUAACACGUAGGCAAUCUACCCUCGGCUGGGGAAUAACCAGGGGAAACCCUGGCUAAUACCGCAUAACAUCUGGACGUCGCCUGGCGACCAGAUCAAAGCUUUAUGUGGCCGAGGAUGAGCCUGCGUCGGAUUAGCUAGUUGGUGGGGAACGCCUACCAAGGCGACGAUCCGUAGCGGGUCUGAGAGGAUGAUCCGCCACACUGGCACUGAGACACGGGCCAGACUCCUACGGGAGGCAGCAGUGAGGAAUAUUGCGCAAUGGACGAAAGUCUGACGCAGCCACGCCGCGUG
rnacentral:rRNA from 1 species